rnacentral:rRNA from 1 species
AAAGGGGCUAAUAUCGCAUAAGCCUGAGAAGGGAAAGCAGCAAUGCGCUGAAAGAGGAGCCCGCGGCCGAUUAGCUAGUUGGUGAGGUAACGGCCCACCAAGGCGAUGAUCGGUAGCCGGCCUGAGAGGGCACACGGCCACACUGGCACUGAAACACGGGCCAGACUCCUACGGGAGGCAGCAGUGGGGAAUCUUGCACAAUGGAGGCAACUCUGAUGCAGCGACGCCGCGUGAGCGAUGAAGCCCCUCGGGGUGUAAAGCUCUUUCGGCAGGGACGAUAAUGACGGUACCUGAAGAAGAAGCUGCGGCUAACUACGUGCCAGCAGCCGCGGUAAUACGUAGGCAGCGAGCGUUGUUCGGAAUUACUGGGCGUAAAGAGUGUGUAGGCGGUGCUCUAAGUUCGGUGUGAAAUCUCCUGGCUUAACUGGGAGGGUGCGCCGAAAACUGGAGUGCUCGAGCGUGGGAGAGGAAAGCGGAAUUCCUGGUGUAGCGGUGAAAUGCGUAGAUAUCAGGAGGAACACCUGUGGUGUAGACGGCUUUCUGGA